UGGGGAAUAUUGGACAAUGGGCGAAAACCUGAUCCAGCCAUGCCGCGUGUGUGAAGAAGGCCUUUUGGUUGUAAAGCACUUUAAGCGAGGAGGAGGCUACUUAGAUUAAUACUCUAGGAUAGUGGACGUUACUCGCAGAAUAAGCACCGGCUAACUCUGUGCCAGCAGCCGCGGUAAUACAGAGGGUGCGAGCGUUAAUCGGAUUUACUGGGCGUAAAGCGUGCGUAGGCGGCUUUUUAAGUCGGAUGUGAAAUCCCUGAGCUUAACUUAGGAAUUGCAUUCGAUACUGGGAAGCUAGAGUAUGGGAGAGGAUGGUAGAAUUCCAGGUGUAGCGGUGAAAUGCGUAGAGAUCUGGAGGAAUACCGAUGGCGAAGGCAGCCAUCUGGCCUAAUACUGACGCUGAGGUACGAAAGCAUGGGGAGCAAACAGG
rnacentral:rRNA from 1 species